UCUCGUCCAGCUAAGAAGUAAAAGUCUUAAGCAAGUUCUCCGACUUGGUGAACCAGCGGAGGGAUCAUUACGGAGUUUACAACUCCCAAACCCAAUGUGAACCAUACCAAACUGUUGCCUCGGCGGGGUCACGCCCCGGGUGCGUCGCAGCCCCGGAACCAGGCGCCCGCCGGAGGGACCAACCAAACUCUUUCUGUAGUCCCCUCGCGGACGUUAUUUCUUACAGCUCUGAGCAAAAAUUCAAAAUGAAUCAAAACUUUCAACAACGGAUCUCUUGGUUCUGGCAUCGAUGAAGAACGCAGCGAAAUGCGAUAAGUAAUGUGAAUUGCAGAAUUCAGUGAAUCAUCGAAUCUUUGAACGCACAUUGCGCCCGCCAGUAUUCUGGCGGGCAUGCCUGUCCGAGCGUCAUUUCAACCCUCGAACCCCUCCGGGGGGUCGGCGUUGGGGAUCGGGAACCCCUAAGACGGGAUCCCGGCCCCGAAAUACAGUGGCGGUCUCGCCGCAGCCUCUCCUGCGCAGUAGUUUGCACAACUCGCACCGGGAGCGCGGCGCGUCCACGUCCGUAAAACACCCAACUUCUGAAAUGUUGACCUCGGAUCAGGUAGGAAUACCCGCUGAACUUAAGCAUAUCAUAAGCGGGAGGAAAA
rnacentral:rRNA from 1 species